rnacentral:tRNA from 1 species
AAGAAGGUAGAGCUGUUUGGUAGCUCACAAGGCUCAUAACCUUGGGGUUACGGGUUCGAUUCCUACUACCCGCUCCAUAUUC